rnacentral:lncRNA from 1 species
UUAUCCAUAUGUUCAUAUUUAAUAUUAUUUCUUGUUUUCAUUCGUCUUCAGUGUUGCUCUACUAAAAUAUAACAUACAAUACUAACUUUUGAUUUCUGUUCUUAUUACUCAGAAUUGUAUACAUUUUCUCAUGCUCUUAAUUUAGUUAUGCUACUUUUCUGUACUCUUGGAAUUUUCACAUUUGUGUUCACUCUCUUUUGAGUAACCAUAGUAUCAAAUGAGCUUUUUUCCCUCUUUCUGAUUUGAAGAUUCAUCUUCUCAUAAUUAUUUUGUCCACUCAGUUUUUUUUUCAUUCUCAGUUAAGCGCCUCUCAUCUGGCUUCUUUUCAUUUAUAAGGUUUCCUUUCAUCUUAAGCCAGUCUUUCAUUUAUAUUUUGAUUCUGUUUUGUGGAGGACAUGCUUCCCUGAAUUUUAUGGAAGAGGCCAAAAGGUUUGUUCAUGUUUUUACCUGAUACAUUGGAUUAAAUUAUCUAAUGCACACACUUUUAAUUUAAGUCUAGGGGCAACUGUCUACUCUUGAUUUUGUAUAGUAUUAUUUUUCUUAACAUCCAAGUCCAUCUUCAUCUAUUUGUAUAAGAUCAAUAAAAAUAUAUUUGUCCAGAACCCUGCUUUGGCGGAGUUACUUCUUUCUAAGUAGUAGAGGUAGCAGUUGAGACAUGAGCUGGGUUCUGGGUCAGUUUAGAGGGCUGGGCGACAUUCCUCCUUUUGGUCUGUAUGACUGAAUGAAUGUAGUUCUUGCUGUCUCGCUCCUCUCCUUAACACAUUGAGCCAUUGCAGCAGAUAAGAAGGAAUAAUCUUGAUCUGCCAUUCAGGUGGAACACAUGUUCUCUCCAACCACACCCAUAGGUUGUACUCACACUCGGCCAGAAGGUAUCCUGUCAAUGAUAUGGAGAUGUAUCUAUCUAGAUAGAUAUCUACUUUGGUUUAUGCUCUCUGGUUGCCCGUAAAUUAUCUCCUUAAAGUGAAUAUCAAAAGAGAGCUUGGUGAUGACAGUAUUAUAAAAUCCUCAGAAUGCAGCACCCAUACCCAGAGGAAUUUGUAGAUUCUGAGAUUCUAAUUCAGAUACCAAACUAUAUAAAAGGGGAAUUGGUAAUUGAGGGUUGCUAG